rnacentral:misc_RNA from 1 species
UCACCCCUCAAGCCCCGUGCUUGGUGUUGGACGGCCGGUCGAGCGAUCGACCCCUCCUAAAGACAAUGACGGCGGCCUGUGGUUCCCCCGGUACACUGAGCUUUUCACGGAGCACGUAUCGGACAAGGGCACCCGGGACCCGGUCCUCUCCUUUCACAAGGAAACUUCUAUGG